GGCGCUAUGGUGUAGUGGUAGCACAUGGGAUUCUGAUUCCCAUAACCCAGGUUCGAACCCUGGUAGUGCCU
rnacentral:tRNA from 1 species